rnacentral:tRNA from 1 species
GGCUGGUAGAGCAGUCCGGUCGCUCGUCGGGCUCAUAACUCGGAGGUCGCGGGUUCGAAUCCCGCUCCCGCUACCA